rnacentral:misc_RNA from 1 species
UGCGAGGGAUUCAUGGAAACUAAGAAGGCUGACGGAGAUUGCCUUGCAUGAAAGAUACGCGAUGUAGAUUAGAUAAAUGGGGAAGAUCGACGUGAGGGCUAUGACCUUUGAGGCUCUGUGAAUUGUGGGGCGGCGCAAUGGAGAUUGGAGAGAAAUGGUUAAAUCUAAGGCUCUGUGAAUUGUGAUAGAGAGUUAGCAAUUGAAAGACUGAGAAAUGGAAAAUGGAAAGUGGAAACAAGGCCCUACUAACGCAAAGAGAAGUGGGAUUCAUAGGAAGAGGAAACAAAGGCAGAGAACGGCGUGUUCCUUAUGUAGC